ensembl:rRNA 5S_rRNA 5S ribosomal RNA
AUCUAUGGCCAUACCACCCUGAACACACCCAAUCUUGUCUAAUCUCGGAGGCCAAGCAGGGUAGGACCUGGUUAGUGCUUGGAUG